UCAGAAUGAACGUUGGCGGCGUGGAUUAGGCAUGCAAGUCGUGCGAAAAGUUUCUUUGCUUGCAAAGAGACGGACAGCGGCGAAAGGGAGAGUAACGCGUGGAAAUCUGCCCUCAGAUCUGGGAUAGCGUCGGGAAACUGGCGGGAAUACCGGAUAAUGUCUUAGGACCAAAGGUGUAAUUCCGUCUGAAAAUGAGUCCGCGUCCUAUUAGCUUGUUGGUGGGGUAAUGGCCUACCAAGGCAUCGAUGGGUACCGGGUGUGAGAGCAUGGCCCGGCUCACUGGGACUGAGACACUGCCCAGACAUCUACGGAUGGCUGCAGUCGAGAAUCUUCGGCAAUGGGCGAAAGCCUGACCGAGCGACGCCGCGUGUGGGACGAAGGCCCUCGGGUUGUAAACCACUGUCAGUUGGAAGGAAAUUCUAUGGGGCAAUCUCCAUAGUUUGACCGAUCUUCAGAGGAAGUACGGGCUAAGUUCGUGCCAGCAGCCGCGGUAACACGAACCGUACGAACGUUAUUCGGAAUCACUGGGCUUAAAGCGUGCGUAGGCGGCCUAGCAAGUUGGGUGUGAAAGCCCUCGGCUCAACCGAGGAAUUGCGCCCAAAACUGCUAGACUUGAGGAAGAUAGAGGUGAGCGGAACUGAUGGUGGAGCGGUGAAAUGCGUUGAUAUCAUUAGGAACACCGGUGGCGAAAGCGGCUCACUGGGUCUUUUCUGACGCUGAGGUACGAAAGCUAGGGGAGCGAACGGGAUUAGAUACCCCGGUAGUCCUAG
rnacentral:rRNA from 1 species